ACCUGUGUUAUCUAGAAGAACAUGUAAAAGAAAGUUACCAUCGCCUUGAAAAUUUGAACUAUCCACAAGUGCAAGUUGUCCCUUUAUUUCUAUUAUUGUACUAUGCGAGGAGGAAAAUCCAGUUACUAACUUUAAUGCCUUCAAUACUUUGUGUUUCUUGGUGAUUUGAUCAAAACCUCAAGGGCACCAAGUAAGUGAAUGUCCUUUAAUUUUUUCUCCCUUAGGAAGAAAGACAUGUUCUUUUGUGAAAGAAUUACAAAUAGCAACAUCUCGUCCCACAUAUAAACUAGGCCAUUACUAGAUUCCUAAUGAUUGAGAUUUCAAAAACAUGGCUCAUCCAAGUACUUGAUGGGACAAUUAGUAACACAACCUAAGUGAUCUUGGCCUAAAUAGUUUAUGACAUCUCUCCUCACAAGAAAUUGAGC
rnacentral:lncRNA from 1 species